GUCCAGACUCCUACGGGAGGCAGCAGUGGGGAAUAUUGCACAAUGGGGGAAACCCUGAUGCAGCGACGCCGCGUGAGCGAUGAAGUAUUUCGGUAUGUAAGGCUCUAUCAGCAGGGAAGAAAAUGACGGUACCUGACUAAGAAGCCCCGGCUAACUACGUGCCAGCAGCCGCGGUAAUACGUAGGGGGCAAGCGUUAUCCGGAUUUACUGGGUGUAAAGGGAGCGUAGACGGCAAUGCAAGCCAGAUGUGAAAGCCCGGGGCUCAACCCCGAGACUGCAUUUGGAACUGUGUAGCUGGAGUGUCGGAGAGGCAGGCGGAAUUCCUAGUGUAGCGGUGAAAUGCGUAGAUAUUAGGAGGAACGCCAGUGGCGAAGGCGGCCUGCUGGACGAUGACUGACGUUGAGGCUCGAAAGCGUGGGGAGCAAACAGGAUUAGAUACCCCAGUAA
rnacentral:rRNA from 1 species